CUCCCGGCGUGCUUCUGGUACCCUGUAGGGUCGGAGAUGGACCGACAGUGGUAGCAAUACAAGGUUAUAACAUUUACAGAAUAUAGAAAUGCCAAUGGUGGAGAUGUAGCUCUUUAUAUUCAGAACCACAUUCCUGUAAAGAUUAGAGAGGAUCACAUGUUAAAUAAACAAAUAGACAAACUUUCAGCUUUUCUUGUGAUUGUUUAAUCAACAGGUUCUUUCGCCGACAAAAUAACUCCAGUACAGGGUAACGUCCAACGCUGAAACACCUGCGUAUCAAAACAAAUAAACAAACUAAGCCGUUGACCAAAAGGUAGUGACAAAACAGUGAAAGCAAAACACCAAACGGCUUCUCCUGUCUUUAUACUGUUCCUAGACCGUCUUUGAAAAUAAAAGUUUGUUCUUAACUGACUUGCCUAGUUAAAUAAAGGUAAAAUAAAAAUAUAAAAUAAAGACUAUCGUCUAAACAUAAUAGUAACAGGAGGAACGCUUCUCUCUACCUAUAGCCUACCUUGGUUUUAUUAACAGAGAGACAAGGUGCCCAAGUAAAAUACAAUUUCUCUGAGGUAGGAAACUCCAACGUCCUCAUAGGUUCCCGUCUCUACUCCCAAUUCUCUCCAAGCGCCUCUCCUGGCACACCUAUAUAGAGGAAGACACAAAGCAAUUAGCGGCCCCAGGUGUGUACUAAUUGGCUUUACACUGAGUACCUAUCCCCUGAGGAGGGUGCUGUUGUGUCUUCUUCCUGGUCACAGAACUCUCACAAUAUGUAUAAUUUUCUAUAUUCAAUCACAAUCUUUCUAUCCAGAUGUUUAUUUUUUUAUACACCAAAACAUAUAUUUUUGUAGACUGUAGUGUGCAAUAGGAAGUAACUAAAUGCACCACCAUUUUCUCAAAUGUCCUGCAUGUCGUCAUGAUAGCUAAAUGCGAUUUUUCUAGUUUAUUCUUCUGAUCUGUGUAUUUGUAGAUAUUUUUUAUGUAUAUUGUAACAAUCAAUGGUUCACUAGUGUUUUUACUACCACUAUCUACCGCCCUCACACAGGUGAGGCAAUUGUAAUUAUCACAUAGGCAACUGCAUAUAAAAAUAUAUACAAUGGUUUUGGCACAUCUUUUGUAUCAGGUAAUAAGGUAGGACCCAGAUGCAGACCGUGUCGAAGUGACAAUGUUUAUUACAGCAACAGGGGCAAAGGUACAGGACGGCAGACAGGCUCAGGGUCAGGUCAGGCAGAGGUCGGUAAUCCAGAGGUGGAGCAAAGAUACAGGACGGCAGGCAGGUACAGGACGGCAGACAGUCUGAGGGUCAGGUCAGGCAGAGGUCAGUAAUCCAGAGAGGAGCAAAGGUACAGGACGGCAGACAGGCUCAUCUGACAGGAAGAGAUGACGGAAAAAAAGACAUAACACAGUGGAUGUUAUCUAGUGUUUGUUUCUUGCACUUGUUUAGUUCAUCUUCCUCCCAAUAACCACUUUUAUGUGUUACAAAGGUUCCUAUUAUAUAUCAAAUGGCUCUCGUAAUCAUCUUCUAGAAUAGAAUCAGAUGGUUUGUAGAUGGAAAGAACUCCCUAACCAUAACAUUUCACUGUGGCUCAACUCAUCCAGUCUUUUUCAUAUAAGUACAAAUACAUUAAACAGUAGCUAGGUUUCCAUCCAAUUAGCGACAGAUUCUCAUCUUGCCGACGAGUCGUAGUGGGAGGACCACACAACAUGUCAUCGCUUGACUCCAAGUUUACUUUUAUAUGAUG
rnacentral:lncRNA from 1 species